rnacentral:rRNA from 1 species
AUGGGAUCGGAUGGCCGGAGCUGGAACGGGGUCACCGGCGGGGCCAGAGGUGACGGUGAGGAGAAGACGAGGACGGUGGCGGCUCCGGCGCCGGCGCUGGCGGAGGUGCCCACGUCGACCGCCUCGGUAGACAUCUCGCUGCCGCUUCCCGAGAUGACUCCCCGCAUCAUAGAUCUCUGCAAGGAGUUGGUGAAGGAGUGGUCGUCCUUGGACAGCUCGUGCUUCUCAAUCUCGACGGUGUCCGGCGGCAUCACCAACAUGUUGCUGAAGGUAUCUGUCAAGGAAGGCUCUGAUAGUGAGUCGUCUGUAACUGUUCGGCUGUAUGGCCCAAAUACAGACUUGGUGAUCGAUCGGGAGAGGGAAUUGCAGGCCAUACCAUAUCUCUCAGCUGCAGGGUUCGGGGCUCGGUUACUUGGAGUAUUUGAGAAUGGAGUGGUUUCGUCAUUCAUCCAUGCUAGGACACUAUCUCCUUCAGACAUGAAGGAGCCUAGAAUUGCCGCUGAAAUUGCCAAGCAGCUACAGAAAUUUCAUCAAGUAGAUAUACCGGGAUCAAAAGAACCACAGUUGUGGAAUGACGUAUUCAAGUUUUUGAAAAAAGCUUCUGUAUUGAAGUUUGAAGAUAAUGAGAAGCAGAAGAGGUAUGAGAUGAUCUCUUUUAGAGAAAUACAAGAUGAAGUUAAAGAACUUAAGGAUCUCUCCGAUCUUUUGCAUGCUCCUGUUGUGUUUGCACACAAUGACUUGCUAUCGGGUAAUCUGAUGCUGAAUGAUUUGGAAGAGAAGCUAUAUUUCAUUGAUUUUGAGUAUGGGUCAUAUAGCUACCGUGGCUUUGACAUCGCGAAUCAUUUCAAUGAGUACGCAGGCUUUGAGUGUGACUACAACUUGUACCCAGAUAAAGAUGUACAAUACCAUUUCUUCAGGAAUUAUCUAUCUGAUAGACCAAGUGAGGUCCAAGAGCAGGAUCUGGAUGCCCUUUAUACUGAAACGAACACUUUCAGGUUAGCAUCACACCUCUACUGGGCAUUGUGGGCACUCAUUCAGGCAAGGGUAUCCCCAAUCGAUUUCGAUUACCUUGGAUACUUCUUCCUACGGUACGGCGAAUACAAGAAACAGCGAGAGUUCUGUUUCUCCUUGGCGCAAGGCUUCCUUUCUUCACUGAGGAGUGGCUAG